GACGAACGCUGGCGGCGUGCCUAAUACAUGCAAGUCGAACGAGAGCGACCGGUGCUUGCACUGGUCAAUCUAGUGGCGAACGGGUGAGUAACACGUGGGUAACCUGCCCAUCAGAGGGGGAUAACAUCCGGAAACGGAUGCUAAAACCGCAUAGGUCUUCGAGCCGCAUGGCUUGAAGAGGAAAAGAGGCGCAAGCUUCUGCUGAUGGAUGGACCCGCGGUGCAUUAGCUAGUUGGUGUGGUAACGGCUCACCAAGGCCGUGAUGCAUAGCCGACCUGAGGGGGUGAUAGGCGACAUUGGGACUGAGACACGGACCAAACUACUACGGGAGGCAGCAGUAGGGAAUCUUACGCAAUGGACGGAAGUCUGACGGAGCAACGCCGCGUGAGUGAAGAAGGUUUUCGGAUCGUAAAACUCUGUUGUUAGAGAAGAACAAGUGCUGGAGUAACUGUUAGCGCCUUGACGGUAUCUAACCAGAAAGCCACGGCUAACUACGUG
rnacentral:rRNA from 1 species